AAAGUCGUAACAAGGUUUCCGUAGGUGAACCUGCGGAAGGAUCAUUAGCGUAAAGUGCGCCGAAAGGUGAAGUGCCCGAAAGGGCUUAAUCAUAACCCAUGUGUGACAUCAAUCUUCUCCUAGUCCUGUCAACCCCAUAACCAGACUGUCUGAGAUUUAAGACAAUCAUUUAAAACUUUCAACAACGGAUCUCUUGGCUCUG
rnacentral:misc_RNA from 1 species